AGAUGUCUUGCAACUCUGGUAUCCACCAGAAAUGGGACACAAUCCUGUUGUGAGGAGUGGCUGAGUCCCUCGUGCUCCUCAGACCUUUCUUUUUUUCUUUUUUUGAUACAGGGUCUCACUAAGUAGUUGAGACCAACCUGGAACUCACUAUGUAGCCCAGGCGGGUCUCGAAAUCACAGCGAUCCUCCCGCCUCAGCCUCCCGAGUGCUGGGAUUACAGGUGUGCGCCACCACACCUGGCUUCCAGACCUUUCUAGUGGGAGGACACGGGGAGUCCUCCCUUCAGCUAUUGUUCUGUGUUCCAAGCCACCUUCCACAGGGAUGGAAUGGCUCCUUGGGUCCUCUGGAUUCACACACUCCCUAUCUCUGGCUAUUGCAGGCUGUGCACGUGACUUCCCUCCUGGCAAGAUCCUACGAAAUGACAAAAGAAAUGGCAGGGAAGUGUCGUGACAAAGCAGUCAUUUGUGUAUUAGAAGUCAGUGGAGGCAGGCACAUGAAAACUGCCACAGAACAAAGCUCAGAGGGUCUCGGUGAGGACAGGGAGCCACUUCCAGGGCAAGGGAUCUAGGAGGAGAGUGUGGAAGACAAGGUGGGCAGGGAGCAGUGUGGCUGUCCUCAGCAUGGUGUCCUCAGGCAGCAAGUGGCGGGGACCUCCAUCCCUGCCCAGCACCAUUAUGGGGGAAGCUUGGUGACCACAGGGACACAGGGACAGGCCACCCCUGUGCCACAGUCUGGGUUGCCCAGGACCCCAGGCACUGGACCAGCAAAUGGGAAAAUGAGUUCCUGUGGAAAUAAAGGUGACAGAGCAACUGAAAAAAAAAUCGUAAAGACACACAGAAAAAAGAGAGAACCAACAUGUGAGUCAAACAGCCCACUGGACAGGAUGCCAAGGCACAGGAUCAAGAGGCAGAUCCAGAUGUUCCAGCAUCUGCUUAUGGAACUUCCAAGAGGCACCAAAAAGAGCAAACAGAGACAGGUAUCAGGAGAAACGGGGAAAAGAUACGAGGAGAAACAUCUAAGCACCAGGGAUGAGAUGAAGCAUCCUACGAUGGUGCCCAGAACAGCCCAAAGAGUGACUGGGCCCCAGAUGGAAACAGCAUUUUGACCAAGCACACCCAGCCCGUGGGGAUCCCCAGUCUGUGGGGAUGGGCAUAGACCUUGGCGGAGGGCACCUGGCACAGCAAUUCUAAUGCCUGACACUCGUUGAAAAGAUGCUCGUUUUAAUUUCUGAUUUAGAAGUGAUGUAUGCUUGCUGCAGAGAAUAUGGAAAAUGCAGAAUGCCGAAAAGAAAGUAAAACUCACCUGGCACCCUCGAAGAGCCAUGGUAAGCAUUUUUUUGGGGGGAAAGAAGUCACCUCACCAAGGUCAAGGCAGGCAGAAGGCUGAUGUGAGGAUGAAGCUGUUGACAGAAGAAAGAAGAGAAAUGAGACACAUGACCUUGGUUAUCAGCAUCUUAUUCAACCCCAAGAAGCAUAAACGCACACUCAUUUGAUGUAGCAGCUGCCCCCCUCUCCUUUUGAAGUGGGAUUUUGGCUUUUUAUUCCGAGC
ensembl:lincRNA